GUGUUCUGAAUCCGCCCUUGGGGAAACAGAUACAUGUAUGGGAUGUUUUCUACACAGCUUGGUUUGUGCGUUUAUAAUGUCUGUGGGUGGUUUGCGCAGUCAAUGAAACGUGUUUGGCGCCCUCAAUAUUGAGGGCGCCAUCAAACGCGGUUACACGCAGGUGGCUGGUGUGCAGUUUGUUUACUUGUCUGCGUUUAUCAUGGGUCUUACUUUGGUCGAGACCCUUCCACUCCAGUUUCAUUCUCAUAUUUCAUUAUCAUAAUUCUCGUUAAUAUUCAUAGGACUGAAGACAUGGUGUACAAGUUACCUCCGUCACUCCGUUCCUUUGGAAUAUAUUCAGCGUUAACAUCAAGUGGACUUUGCUGAGUACCUGCGUGAUAAAAAUCAACCAACCAGUUCUCUUGGUUGGGGAGUUAUUUGGGUGGUAACGAAGCAGUGGACCAGGCAAUCAGUCGAGCACACCAUUGAGACAUGGAUCAACCUCCACUGAUUGACGGAGUUGUGCUGACUAAGAUUGACACCAUUGAUGAUAAGGUGAUGGCAGUUCUACCAGCUCUCUUCACAUCAAAGAGCUCUCUUGAGAAGCACUAUAGAGGCACUAUAAGGCCCAGGAGAAGGACUGCUCCUCACAGCGAGAACAGAC